AUGCGCAGUCAUUGCCUAACGUUUAGUUGUCUCAGUUAUGUUAGACUUCAACUCCCAGACGGCUCAGCUACUUUGGCCAAGGAUGAGGAAUCCUGAAAGAUGAAAUUCAGGCAAGUUCAAGGAACAGAAGGGGAAGGAACUUCGUUGGAAUUAUUGGGAUAAAAGAAAACUGAAAGAGGGAAGAGAUACUUUGGAUAAAAUCAAGCAACUGACAAGAAGAAACAAGAGGAAAAAGAAAAGAUUGACUUUCUUUAAGAUGACGGAGGCUGCAGUAACCGAGAACCCAUUCCACUGAUUAGAAAUCCUGAGUUCUUUGUUAUAUAAGAAAUAUGUUUAAUGAAAGGCACCCUCCAAGAAACACUUAAUGUAGAUACAGUUCAUUGACAGGGUCCCUGAGGUGUAAGAGCAGCUAGACAUAUAUCAAACAACAUACAGUGAAUAUAGGCAGUCCUCAAUUUGUGAUAGGUUCUGUAGAUUUGUUCUUCAGUUGAAAUUGUAUGUAAAUCAGAACAGGUACAUUUUUAAGUGUAACUCCGGCCAGAAAUAUAUAUAAUUUUAGUUUUAGAUAGCAUAGGGAAGGGUUAACACCCCUGUGGUGUUUUGCUGUUUGUGCCCCUGUUCAGAAGAUUUCACAGCACUUUCUUUCCCUGUGAUAAUUGGAUUUUGAAAAAUUUGGUUUGUUGUGGAUACAACAAUUGGUGAGAAAGCUUAAAUUCUUUUUCCCAUGAUGACUCUUCCAGGAGUUAAUUUUUCCCUUCCAAGGGAUAGAUUUCGCUCACUUCUUGUUGUCUCAUCCCUCUUCUUAACUAUGAGUUGUUUGUAAGUCGGAUGUUUGUAACUCAGGGACUGCCUGUAUUAAGUUAAAAUGAAAGGUGGUCAUUUUCAUUUUACAUUCAUUUUGGGAUAUUUUAUUGGGAUGUUUUAUUAUUAGGCAAGUGGACUGCUUGCACAAGGAGGUAUUGAGUACCUCCUUAUACAGUCUUGGGAAAAGAAACAACAAUUGGUUCAACAUGCGUUUAAAUAAGCAUACCACUCCUGUAAGAUCCUGAUCAAAGUUCAAUAUUUAAUGCCUGGGGCUUUGUCCUUAUAAUAAUUCUUUUGUAGAGGUGUAUGGAUUUUUUAAAUGGUGUAAGAAAGAAGCAAGGGUAAAGGAAAUAAUAUAUUAUGUCAUACUGAAGGGUAUUCCAGUAAAAUGACUAACAGGA